rnacentral:rRNA from 1 species
AGUGAACGCUGGCGGUAGGCCUAACACAUGCAAGUCGAACGGCAGCACAGUAAGAGCUUGCUCUUACGGGUGGCGAGUGGCGGACGGGUGAGGAAUACAUCGGAAUCUACUUUUUCGUGGGGGAUAACGUAGGGAAACUUACGCUAAUACCGCAUACGACCUACGGGUGAAAGCAGGGGAUCUUCGGACCUUGCGCGAUUGAAUGAGCCGAUGUCGGAUUAGCUAGUUGGCGGGGUAAAGGCCCACCAAGGCGACGAUCCGUAGCUGGUCUGAGAGGAUGAUCAGCCAAACCUGGACCGAGGACACGGCCCGGACUCCUACGGGAGGCGGCAGUGGGAAUUUUUGGCAAAUGGCCGAAGCCUGGACCAGGCCUUCCCGGGUGGGUAAGGAGGGCUUUCGGUUUGUAAAGCCCUUUGGUUGGGAAAAAAAACAGGAAGGUUAAUCCCCCGCUUUUCUGACGGUACCAAAAGAAUAAGCACCGGCUAACUUCGU